AGUGGCGGGACGGGUGAGUAACGCGUGGGUAACCUGCCCCAUACAGGGGGAUAACAGCCGGAAACGGCUGCUAAUACCGCAUGCACAUGCGGGGGCGCAUGCCCCUGGAUGGAAAGCUUCCGCGGUAUGGGAUGGGCCCGCGUCUGAUUAGGCAGUUGGCGGGGUAACGGCCCACCAAACCGACGAUCAGUAGCCGGCCUGAGAGGGCAACCGGCCACAUUGGGACUGAGACACGGCCCAAACUCCUACGGGAGGCAGCAG
rnacentral:rRNA from 1 species